rnacentral:rRNA from 1 species
GACGAACGCUGGCGGCGUGCUUAACACGUGCAAGUCGAACGGAAAGGCCCUGCUUUUGUGGGGUGCUCGAGUGGCGAACGGGUGAGUAACACGUGAGUAACCUGCCCUUGACUUUGGGAUAACUUCAGGAAACUGGGGCUAAUACCGGAUAGGAGCUCCUGCUGCAUGGUGGGGGUGGGAAAGUUUCGGCGGUUGGGGAUGGACUCGCGGCUUAUCAGCUUGUUGGUGGGGUAGUGGCUUACCAAGGCUUUGACGGGUAGCCGGCCUGAGAGGGUGACCGGCCACAUUGGGACUGAGAUACGGCCCAGACUCCUACGGGAGGCAGCAGUGGGGAAUAUUGCACAAUGGGCGGAAGCCUGAUGCAGCAACGCCGCGUGCGGGAUGACGGCCUUCGGGUUGUAAACCGCUUUCGCCUGUGACGAAGCGUGAGUGACGGUAAUGGGUAAAGAAGCACCGGCUAACUACGUG